rnacentral:tRNA from 1 species
GUUUCUGUGGUGUAGUUGUAAUCAUGUUUGCUUCACACGCAAAUGGUCCCUGGUUCGAAACCGGGCGGAAACA